AGCAGCCGCGGUAAUUCCAGCUCCAAUAGCGUAUAUUAAAGUUGUUGCAGUUAAAAAGCUCGUAGUUGAAUUUCGGGACUAAUAUGUCGGUCGUGCUUCGGUACGUACUUGCAUUAUUGGUUUCUCCCUUCUGACGAACCAUGAUGUCAUUAAUUUGGUGUCUUGGGGAAUCAGGACUGUUACUUUGAAAAAAUUAGAGUGUUUAAAGCAGGCUCACGCUUGAAUACAUUAGCAUGGAAUAAUGAAAUAGGACGUUUGAUUCUAUUUUGUUGGUUUCUAGGAUCGACGUAAUGAUUAAUAGGGAUAGUUGGGGGCAUUAGUAUUCAAUUGUCAGAGGUGAAAUUCUUGGAUUUAUUGAAGACUAACUACUGCGAAAGCAUUUGCCAAGGAUGUUUUCAUUAAUCAAGAACGAAAGUUAGGGGACCGAAGACGAUCAGAUACCGUCGUAGUCUUAACCAUAAACUAUGCCGACUAGGGAUCGGAUGAUGUUAAUUUUUUAAUGACUCA
rnacentral:rRNA from 1 species